rnacentral:rRNA from 1 species
CACGUAGUUAGCCGUGGCUUAUUCGUCAGGUACCGUCACUUGCUUCGUCCCUGACAAAAGAAGUUUACAACCCGAAAGCCUUCUUCCUUCACGCGGCGUUGCUGGGUCAGGCUUGCGCCCAUUGCCCAAUAUUCCCCACUGCCGCCUCCCGUAGGAGUCUGGGCCGUGUCUCAGUCCCAAUGUGGCCGGCCAACCUCUCAGUCCGGCUACUGAUCGUCGCCUUGGUGGGCCGUUACCCCGCAACUAGCUAAUCAGACGCGAGCUCAUCUCAGAGCGAUAAAUCUUUGACAGCCAGGGAGAUGCCUCCCAGCUGUAUCAUGCGGUAUUAGCGGCUGUUUCCAGCCGUUAUCCCCAUCCAAGGCAGAUUGCUCACGCGUUACUCACCGUCGCCACUUCCCACUUCACUUGACGAAUCUCGAUCCAAUGUUCUGUUCGACUUGCUAUGUGUUAAGCACGCCG